GACGAACGCUGGCGGCGUGCCUAAUACAUGCAAGUUGAGCGCUGAAGGUUGGUACUUGUACCGACUGGAUGAGCAGCGAACGGGUGAGUAACGCGUGGGGAAUCUGCCUUUGAGCGGGGGACAACAUUUGGAAACGAAUGCUAAUACCGCAUAAAAACUUUAAACACAAGUUUUAAGUUUGAAAGAUGCAAUUGCAUCACUCAAAGAUGAUCCCGCGUUGUAUUAGCUAGUUGGUGAGGUAAAGGCUCACCAAGGCGAUGAUACAUAGCCGACCUGGGAGGGUGAUCGGCCACAUUGGGACUGAGACACGGCCCAAACUCCUACGGGAGGCAGCAGUAGGGAAUCUUCGGCAAUGGACGAAAGUCUGACCGAGCAACGCCGCGUGAGUGAAGAAGGUUUUCGGAUCGUAAAACUCUGUUGGUAGAGAAGAACGUUGGUGAGAGUGGAAAGCUCAUCAAGUGACGGUAACUACCCAGAAAGGGACGGCUAACUACGUGCCAGCAGCCGCGGUAAUAC
rnacentral:rRNA from 1 species